rnacentral:rRNA from 1 species
GUUGGGCACUCUAAGGUGACUAGCCGGGCUAAAAGUCGGAGGAAGGUGGGGAUGACGUCAAAUCAUCAUGCCCCUUAGUGACCUGGGCUACACACGUGCUACAAUGGGCGGUACAAAGGGUCGCGAACCCGCGAGGGGGAGCCAAUCCCAAAAAGCCGCUCUCAGUUCGGAUUGCAGGCUGCAACUCGCCUGCAUGAAGCCGGAAUCGCUAGUAAUCGCGGAUCAGCAUGCCGCGGUGAAUACGUUCCCGGGCCUU